UACGGGGGGGAGCAAGCGUUGUUCGGAUUUACUGGGCGUAAAGGGCGCGUAGGCGGCGUGACAAGUCACUUGUGAAAUCUCCGGGCUUAACUCGGAACGGUCAAGUGAUACUGUCGUGCUAGAGUACAGAAGGGGCAACUGGAAUUCUCGGUGUAGCGGUGGAAUGCGUAGAGAUCGGGAAGAACACCAGUGGCGAAGGCGGUCUGCUGGACCGUUGCUGACGCUGAGGCGCGACAGCGUGGGGAGCAAACAGG
rnacentral:rRNA from 1 species